UGGGCUUGCGGCGUGCUAUACAUGCAAGUCGAGCGAGCAGAACCAGCAGAUUUACUUCGGUAAUGACGCUGGGGACGCGAGCGGCGGAUGGGUGAGUAACACGUGGGGAACCUGCCCCAUAGUCUAGGAUACCACUUGGAAACAGGUGCUAAUACCGGAUAAUAAAGCAGAUCGCAUGAUCAGCUUAUAAAAGGCGGCGUAAGCUGUCGCUAUGGGAUGGCCCCGCGGUGCAUUAGCUAGUUGGUAAGGUAACGGCUUACCAAGGCAAUGAUGCAUAGCCGAGUUGAGAGACUGAACGGCCACAUUGGGACUGAGACACGGCCCAAACUCCUACGGGAGGCAGCAGUAGGGAAUCUUCCACAAUGGACGCAAGUCUGAUGGAGCAACGCCGCGUGAGUGAAGAAGGUUUUCGGAUCGUAAAGCUCUGUUGUUGGUGAAGAAGGAUAGAGGUAGUAACUGGCCUUUAUUUGACGGUAAUCAACCAGAAAGUCACGGCUAACUACGUGCCAGCAGCCGCGGUAAUACGUAGGUGGCAAGCGUUGUCCGGAUUUAUUGGGCGUAAAGCGAGCGCAGGCGGAAGAAUAAGUCUGAUGUGAAAGCCCUCGGCUUAACCGAGGAAUUGCAUCGGAAACUGUUUUUCUUGAGUGCAGAAGAGGAGAGUGGAACUCCAUGUGUAGCGGUGGAAUGCGUAGAUAUAUGGAAGAACACCAGUGGCGAAGGCGGCUCUCUGGUCUGCAACUGACGCUGAGGCUCGAAAGCAUGGGUAGCGAACAGGAUUAGAUACCCUGGUAGUCCAUGCCGUAAACGAUGAGUGCUAAGUGUUGGGAGGUUUCCGCCUCUCAGUGCUGCAGCUAACGCAUUAAGCACUCCGCCUGGGGAGUACGACCGCAAGGUUGAAACUCAAAGGAAUUGACGGGGGCCCGCACAAGCGGUGGAGCAUGUGGUUUAAUUCGAAGCAACGCGAAGACCCUUACCAGGUCUUGACAUCUAGUGCCAUCCUAAGAGAUUAGGAGUUCCCUUUCGGGGACGCUAAGACAGGUGGUGCAUGGCUGUCGUCAGCUCGUGUCGUGAGAUGUUGGGGUAGUCCCGCAACGAGCGCAACCCUUAUUAUAGUGCAGCAUAGUGGGCACCUCUAAUGGAGACUGCGGUGACACGGAGAGGUGGGGAUGACGUCCAGUCAUCAUGCCUAUGACUGGCUAACACACUGCUACAAUGGGCAGUACAACCGAGAAAAGUC
rnacentral:rRNA from 1 species